rnacentral:rRNA from 1 species
UAAAGGGUGCGUAGGCGGCCUGUUAAGUCAGGGGUGAAAGACGGUAGCUCAACUAUCGCAGUGCCCUUGAUACUGAUGGGCUUGAAUGGACUAGAGGUAGGCGGAAUGAGACAAGUAGCGGUGAAAUGCAUAGAUAUGUCUCAGAACACCGAUUGCGAAGGCAGCUUACUAUGGUCUUAUUGACGCUGAGGCACGAAAGCGUGGGGAUCAAACAGGAUUAGAUACCCUGU